GUUAGGAAUAUUGGACAAUGGGCGCAAGCCUGAUCCAGCCAUGCCGCGUGAGUGAUGAAGGCCUUCGGGUUGUAAAGCUCUUUAGUCCACGAAUAUAAUGACUGUAGUGGAAGAAUAAGCCCCGGCUAACUUCGUGCCAGCAGCCGCGGUAAUACGAAGGGGGCGAGCGUUAUUCGGAAUCACUGGGCGUAAAGCGUGCGCAGGCUGUUUUGUAAGUCAGAAGUGAAAGCCCAGGGCUUAACCCUGGAAUUGCUUUUGAAACUACAGGACUCGAAUUCGGGAGAGGAUAGCGGAAUUGUCAGUGUAGCAGUGAAAUGCGUAGAUAUUGACAGGAACACCAGUGGCGCAAGCGGCUAUCUGGACCGAUAUUGACGCUGAGGCACGAAAGCGUGGGGAGCAAACAGGAUUAGAAACCCGAGUAGUCC
rnacentral:rRNA from 1 species